UACGAAGGGGGCUAGCGUUGUUCGGAAUUACUGGGCGUAAAGCGCACGUAGGCGGCUUUCUAAGUCAGGGGUGAAAUCCUGGAGCUCAACUCCAGAACUGCCUUUGAUACUGGGAAGCUCGAGUCCGGAAGAGGUGAGUGGAACUCCGAGUGUAGAGGUGAAAUUCGUAGAUAUUCGGAAGAACACCAGUGGCGAAGGCGGCUCACUGGUCCGGUACUGACGCUGAGGUGCGAAAGCGUGGGGAGCAAACAGG
rnacentral:rRNA from 1 species